AGAAUAUGAAUACACAUUACAUACAUUCGUUAAUUACAAAUAAUCAAGCAAGAUAAUGAAAACCAAGUCAUAUUUCUUCAGCAUCUAUCCACAAGUUGUGGAAUAUGAGGUGCUAGAUUAAAUAGGAAAUGUUUGAGGAAACUUUAUCAUUAUGGCAACAAACGAUAUGUUUUAAUUUAGUAUGAAAUGGUUGAUUAAAGUGGGCAAAACAUAUACAUGUACUGAAAUUUUUUU
rnacentral:lncRNA from 1 species